rnacentral:lncRNA from 1 species
GAGGGGUUUCCUCAGCAGUGCCCCGGAGCAGGGACUGAGCCAGCCAGCAGAAACAGCUAGUUGUUGUCUGCAGUGAAGAAUAAUUGGAAGCAUGGUGCCUGUUUCUUUUCCUGUGGGAGGAAGUCACAGCAUCUACUUCUGAAUCUGUGC